rnacentral:rRNA from 1 species
AUUGAACGCUAGCGGGAUGCUUUACACAUGCAAGUCGAACGGCAGCGCGGACUUCGGUCUGGCGGCGAGUGGCGAACGGGUGAGUAAUGUAUCGGAACGUGCCCAGUAGCGGGGGAUAACUACGCGAAAGCGUAGCUAAUACCGCAUACGCCCUACGGGGGAAAGCAGGGGAUCGUAAGACUUUGCACUAUUGGAGCGGCCGAUAUCGGAUUAGCUAGUUGGUGAGGUAACGGCUCACCAAGGCGACGAUCCGUAGCUGGUUUGAGAGGACGACCAGCCACACUGGGACUGAGACACGGCCCAGACUCCUACGGGAGGCAGCAGUGGGGAAUUUUGGACAAUGGGGGCAACCCUGAUCCAGCCAUCCCGCGUGUGCGAUGAAGGCCUUCGGGUUGUAAAGCACUUUUGGCAGGAAAGAAACGUCGCGGGCUAAUACCCCGUGGAACUGACGGUACCUGCAGAAUAAGCACCGGCUAACUACGUG